rnacentral:pre_miRNA from 1 species
AUCAGCUGGGGAUCUUGUUAAAAUGCAGAUUCUGAUUAAACGACGACGAUGAUGGGGGAAGUCUGAGAUUUUGCAUUUUUAACAAGCUCCCAGGUGAUACCCA